rnacentral:pre_miRNA from 1 species
ACAUGCUUCUUUAUAUCCCCAUAUGAAUUAUACUGCUAUGGAAUGUAAGGAAGUGUGUGG